rnacentral:rRNA from 1 species
GAUUUCUGGUUCGGCGCGUCUGACCCAUUGGGGUAACUCAAUGAGUGUCGGUUCGCGCCUGCCAUCUCUUCGAGCAGGCAUGUUGCUUCGCAAGGAGUGGAUAUGUCCUCGUCUCGAUCUUUUACUUUGAAAAAAUUAGAGUGUUUAAAGCAGGCAUGUUGCUAUGAAUAUAUUAGCAUGGAAUAAUAACUUAGGACUUUGUUCUUAUGUUAUUGGUUACCUGAGAACGAAGUAAUGAUUGAUAGGGAUAGUUGGGGGUGCUAGUAUUCAUCGGCCAGAGGUGAAAUUCUUGGAUUCGAUGAAGACUAACUAAUGCGAAAGCAUU